rnacentral:rRNA from 1 species
CCUACGGGUGGCAGCAGUGAGGAAUAUUGGUCAAUGGACGAGAGUCUGAACCAGCCAAGUAGCGUGAAGGAUGACUGCCCUAUGGGUUGUAAACCUCUUUUAUAUGGGAAUAAAAUGUUCCACGUGUGGGAUUUUGUAUGUACCAUAUGAAUAAGGAUCGGCUAACUCCGUGCCAGCAGCCGCGGUAAUACGGAGGAUCCGAGCGUUAUCCGGAUUUAUUGGGUUUAAAGGGAGCGUAGGUGGAUUGUUAAGUCAGUUGUGAAAGUUUGCGGCUCAACCGUAAAAUUGCAGUUGAAACUGGCAGUCUUGAGUACAGUAGAGGUGGGCGGAAUUCGUGGUGUAGCGGUGAAAUGCUUAGAUAUCACGAAGAACUCCGAUUGCGAAGGCAGUUCACUGGACUGCAACUGACACUGAGGCACGAAAGUGUGGGUAUCAAACAGGAUUAGAUACCCGUGUAGUC